rnacentral:rRNA from 1 species
CUACGGGAGGCUGCAGUGAGGAAUAUUGGUCAAUGGGCGCGAGCCUGAACCAGCCAUCCCGCGUGCAGGAUGACGGCCCUAUGGGUUGUAAACUGCUUUUCUAUGCCAAGAAACCUGAUUACGUGUAAUCAGUUGCCGGUAGCAUAGGAAUAAGCAUCGGCUAACUCCGGGCCAGCAGCCGCGGUAAUACGGAGGAUGCAAGCGUUAUCCGGAUUCAUUGGGUUUAAAGGGUGCGCAGGUGGGCUUGUAAGUCAGUGGUGAAAUGCUGCCGCGUAACGGUAGAACUGCCAUUGAUACUGCGAGUCUUGAGUAUGGUUGAGGUAGGCGGAAUGUGUUGUGUAGCGGUGAAAUGCAUAGAUAUGACACAGAACGCCAAUUGCGAAGGCAGCUUACUAAGCCAUUACUGACGCUGAGGCACGAAAGCGUGGGGAGCGAACAGGAUUAGAUACCCCGGUAGUC